AUUGAACGCUGGCGGCAUGCUUUACACAUGCAAGUCGAACGGUAACAGGGUGCUUGCACCGCUGACGAGUGGCGAACGGGUGAGUAAUGCGUCGGAACGUGCCGAGUAGUGGGGGAUAACGCAGCGAAAGUUGUGCUAAUACCGCAUACGUACUGAGGUAGAAAGUGGGGGACCUUCGGGCCUCACGCUAUUCGAGCGGCCGACGUCUGAUUAGCUAGUAGGUGAGGGAAAGGCUCAACUAGGCGACGAUCAGUAGCGGGUCUGAGAGGAUGAUCAGCCACACUGGGACUGAGACACGGCCCAGACUCCUACGGGAGGCAGCAGUGGGGAAUUUUGGACAAUGGGCGAAAGCCUGAUCCAGCCAUGCCGCGUGUCUGAAGAAGGCCUUCGGGUUGUAAAGGACUUUUGUCAGGGAGGAAAUCCCUAGUGCUAAUAACACUGGGGGAUGACAGUACCUGAAGAAUAAGCACCGGCUAACUACGUGCCAGCAGCCGCCGUAA
rnacentral:rRNA from 1 species